GAUGAACGCUGGCGGCGCGCCUAACACAUGCAAGUCGAACGAUUAAAGCACCUUCGGGUGUGUAUAAAGUUGCGAACGGCUGAGUAACACGUGGGCAACCUGCCCCUCUCAUUGGGAUAGCCACGGGAAACCGUGGAUAAUACCGAAUACUUCGGGACUUCCGCAUGGAAGACUCGAGAAAGCUCCGGCGGAGAGGGAUGGGCCCGCGGCCUGUUAGCUUGUUGGUGGGGUAAUGGCCUACCAAGGCAAUGAUGGGUAGCUGGGUUGAGAGACCGACCAGCCAGAUUGGGACUGAGACACGGCCCAGACUCCUACGGGAGGCAGCAGUGGGGAAUCUUGCACAAUGGGCGAAAGCCUGAUGCAGCGACGCCGCGUGCGGGAUGAAGGCCUUCGGGUUGUAAACCGCUUUCAGCAGGGACGAGGCGAAAGUGACGGUACCUGCAGAAGAAGCCCCGGCUAACUACGUG
rnacentral:rRNA from 1 species